rnacentral:rRNA from 1 species
UACGUAGGGUGCAAGCGUUGUCCGGAAUUAUUGGGCGUAAAGAGCUCGUAGGCGGUUUGUCGCGUCGGCCGUGAAAUCUCCACGCUUAACGUGGAGCGUGCGGUCGAUACGGGCAGACUUGAGUUCGGUAGGGGAGACUGGAAUUCCUGGUGUAGCGGUGAAAUGCGCAGAUAUCAGGAGGAACACCGAUUGCGAAGGCAGCUCGCUGGGACGUCACUGACGCUGAGACGCGAAAGCGUGGGGAGCAAACAGG